rnacentral:rRNA from 1 species
UCCUAGCCGUAAACGAUGGGCACUAGGUAGAGGAGGCUUCGACGCCCUCUCUGCCGAAGCUAAUGUGCUAAGUGCCCCGCCUGGGGAGUAUGGUCGCAAGGCUAAAACUCAAAGGAAUUGACGGGGGCUCGCACAAGCGGUGGAGCAUGUUGCUCAAUUCGAAGCAACGCGAAGAACCUUACCAGGGCUUGACAGUGAGAAGUAGAAACUUGAAAGGGGGACGACCGGUACCCAAUCCGGAACUCGAACAGGUGUUGCAUGGCUGUCGUCAGCUCGUGUCGUGAGAUGUUGGGUUAAGUC